rnacentral:rRNA from 1 species
RGGGGGGUGGCUACCCUGCAGUCGACGAAAACGCUUCCUUCGGGAAGCUAGUACAGUGGCGAACGGGUGAGUAACGCGUGGGAAUCUACCCGGUAGUGGGGGAUAACCCUCCGAAAGGAGGGCUAAUACCGCCUACGUCCUACGGGAUAAAGAUGGCCUCUUUACAAUGCUAUCGCUUCCGGAUGAGCCCGCGUCCUAUUAGCUAGUUGGUAAGGUAACGGCUUACCAAGGCAACGAUGGGUAGCCGGUCUGAGAGGACGAACGGCCACACUGGAACUGAGACACGGUCCAGACUCCUACGGGAGGCAGCAGUGGGGAAUAUUGCGCAAUGGGGGAAACCCUGACGCAGCAACGCCGCGUGAGUGAUGAAGGUCUUCGGAUUGUAAAGCUCUGUUUUCUAGGACGAUAAUGACGGUACUAGAAGAGGAAGCCACGGCUAACUACGUGCCAGCAGCCGCGGUAAUACGUAGGUGGCGAGCGUUGUCCGGAUUUACUGGGCGUAAAGGGUGCGUAGGCG